GACUAACGCUGGAGGCGUGCUUAACACAUGCAAGUCGAACGAAGUGGCGAACGGGUGAGUAAUACGUGGGUAACCUGACCUCCUUUUUGGGAUAAGCCUUGGAAACGGGGUUUAAUACCGAAUAAAGGGGGAUGGGCUCGCGGCUUAUCAGCUUGUUGGUGGGGUGAUGGCCUACCAAGGCGGUGAGGGGUAGCCGGCCUGAGAGGGGGACCGGGCAUGUAGGGACUGGGAGACGGCGCAGACUCCUACGGGAGGCAGCAGUUGGCGAUAUUGCUCAAUGGGCGAAAUCCUGAUGCAGCGACGCAGCGUGGGGCAGGUAGGCUUUCGGGGUGUAAACCUCUUUCUGUAGCGAAAGGGUAGGAGGAGAAGAAGCGCCGACUAACUACGUGCCAGCAGCCGCGGUAAUAC
rnacentral:rRNA from 1 species